rnacentral:rRNA from 1 species
UACGUAGGGUGCAAGCGUUAAUCGGAAUUACUGGGCGUAAAGCGUGCGCAGGCGGUGAUGUAAGACAGAUGUGAAAUCCCCGGGCUCAACCUGGGAACUGCAUUUGUGACUGCAUCGCUGGAGUGCGGCAGAGGGGGAUGGAAUUCCGCGUGUAGCAGUGAAAUGCGUAGAUAUCUGGAAGAACACCAAAGGCGAAGGCAAUGUUCUGGCUCGUUUCUGACGCUCAGGUGCGAAAGCCAGGGGAGCGAACGGG